GACGAACGCUGGCGGCGUGCUUAACACAUGCAAGUCGAACGGAAAGGCCCUGCUUUUGUGGGGUGCUCGAGUGGCGAACGGGUGAGUAACACGUGAGUAACCUGCCCUUGACUUUGGGAUAACUUCAGGAAAAUGGGGCUAAUACCGGAUAGGAGCUCCUGCUGCAUGGUGGGGGUUGGAAAGUUUCGGCGGUUGGGGAUGGACUCGCGGCUUAUCAGCUUGUUGGUGGGGUAGUGGCUUACCAAGGCUUUGACGGGUAGCCGGCCUGAGAGGGUGACCGGCCACAUUAGUACUGAGAUACGGCCCAGACUCCUACGGGAGGCAGCAGUGGGGAAUAUUGCGCAAUGGGCGGAAGCCUGAUGCAGCAACGCCGCGUGCGGGAUGACGGCCUUCGGGUUGUAAACCGCUUUCGCCUGUGACGAAGCGUGAGUGACGGUAAUGGGUAAAGAAGCACCGGCUAACUACGUG
rnacentral:rRNA from 1 species